GUUUGGAAAUGUUAUUUGUUUUAGCCCAUUUUCCUUCCCAUUUUGGGUUGUCCGAAUUGUUUUCCCAAGUAUUCUCCAGUGACGAUAUUCUCAGGAGCGGAGCUGUCAACUGAACAAGUGUCUGUGGCCCCUAACUAAAUUUAAUUUUUGGAAAAAAAAAGUUUGUCCAAACCAAAUUUUGCACAGUCUACAAAACUUGUAUGUAUGGACAUGAAGGCAGUAAAGAUAGUAGUAGUCCCACUUGUGAUAAGCGCACUUGGUUAUGUAACCCCAAAGUUACGUGAGUGGUUUCACCAGUAUUCAGGUGGGAUAUCUGAGAUCGCUGUGAAUCUGUCUAUACAACCAACAUUUAGUGUCUGUCUCCUAACCAUCAGUCAGUUAUUUUGGCACCGUGGAUGGGUUUCCGAAUCACAAAAUAAACAAGGCAGCUCAUCCAUUGCCUGUUUUGUGAUUUAUCCAUAUGUCGAUUUGGAGUUAGAGAUUUUGUACAAAACAUUGAUCAUCCAAAAUUUGAACAAAUCACCAUUUGUUUGAAACUGAAUGCACAAGUUUACUAGUAAAUCAACUUCUAU